rnacentral:rRNA from 1 species
AUUGAACGCUGGCGGCAGGCCUAACACAUGCAAGUCGAGCGAGCGGCGGACGGGUGAGUAAUGUAUGGGGACUGCCCGAUAGAGGGGGAUAACUACUGGAAACGGUAGCUAAUACCGCAUACUAUCGGAUAACCCAUAUGGGAUUAGCUAAUAGGUGAGGUAAUGGCACACCUAGGCGACGAUCCAUAGCUGGUCUGGGAGGAUGAUCAGCCACACUGGUACUGAGAGACGGCCCCGAUCCCUCGGGAGGCAGCAGGGGGGAAUAUUGCACAAUGGGAGCAAGCCUGAUUCAGCCAUGCCGCGUGUGUGAAGAGGGCCCUAGGGUUGUAAAGUUCUUUGAGUCGGGAGACGUUACCGACAGAAGAAGCACCGGCUAACUCCGUGCCAGCAGCCGCGGUAAUUC